rnacentral:misc_RNA from 1 species
UUCGAGCGUCAUUACAACCCUCAAGCUCUGCUUGGUAUUGGGCUACACCCGACUGGGUGGGCCUUAAAAUCAGUGGCGGUGCAUCUGGCUCUAAGCGUAGUAAUUCUUCUCGCUCUGGAGAUCUAGGUGUUUGCUUGCCAGCAACCCCCAAUUUAUCAAAGGUUGACCUCGGAUCAGGUAGGGAUACCCGCUGAACUUAA